rnacentral:tRNA from 1 species
AGAGGUAUAGCUUAGUGGUAGAGCAUUUGACUGCAGAUCAAAAAAAAAAAGUUUCCCCCGAGUUUAGAAUAAAGAAUCUUCACAAAAGUUAAACCUCUU